rnacentral:rRNA from 1 species
UUGGAGGGACACUACCAUGCAAGUCGAGCGCACCCUUCGGGGCGAGCGGCGGACGGGUUAGUAACGCGUGGGAACGUACCCUUUUCUACGGAAUAGCCUCGGGAAACUGAGAGUAAUACCGUAUAAGCCCUUCGGGGGAAAGAUUUAUCGGUAAAGGAUCGGCCCGCGUUAGAUUAGAUAGUUGGUGGGGUAAUGGCCUACCAAGUCUACGAUCUAUAGCUGGUUUUAGAGGAUGAUCAGCAACACUGGGACUGAGACACGGCCCAGACUCCUACGGGAGGCAGCAGUGGGGAAUCUUAGACAAUGGGCGCAAGCCUGAUCUAGCCAUGCCGCGUGUGUGAUGAAGGCCUUAGGGUCGUAAAGCACUUUCGCCAGGGAUGAUAAUGACAGUACCUGGUAAAGAAACCCCGGCUAACUCCGUGCCAGCAGCCGCGGUAAUACGGAGGGGGUUAGCGUUGUUCGGAAUUACUGGGCGUAAAGCGUACGUAGGCGGAUCAGAAAGUAGGGGGUGAAAUCCCGAGGCUCAACCUCGGAACUGCCUCCUAAACUCCUGGUCUUGAGUUCGAGAGAGGUGAGUGGAAUUCCAAGUGUAGAGGUGAAAUUCGUAGAU